rnacentral:lncRNA from 1 species
CAACCUUAAGGCCUCCAGCACGUCUUCUAAAUCCUUAGAACUUUAUAUUAGAUAGAUAUGCAUCUUCUAAGUCACAAAUGACUCCAUAUAAAGUAGGAAAAAAGUCAGAUUUGGCUGCAAAGAGCCACAUCCUGCUUUGACAACUCAUGCUUGGGGAAUACUUGUCUUGUAAUCACAAAUUCCUUCAUCUUUAAGUAUCACUCACGUCCCCAAUCCUUAAGACUCCUUAAAUAGCUCCUAAAUAAUAUAUUUGACUCUACAAAUAUAUCCCCAAGUGACCCCAAGUGGACGUGAAAGCAAAGAAAGCAAAAGGGAUAAGAAAACAAAAAGCUGCAAUUACAAUUUGAGGAGGUGAGUUUAAGUUACUGUUUUGAAGUUUUUUUUUAGUUUUUUUUGGGUGUUUAUAAUAUGUUAAAACUCUAAACUUACUUGAGGUUAAGUAGGAGGGUUUUUGAUGAUUUUAUGAUGGCAAAAAGAGGGAUAAUCAAGUACAAGAACUGAAAGAAAUCAACAGGGAUAGAGAUGUGUCGAUUGACGAAUUUGGAUGCUUUAAACUUUGAUUUUGGAGAAUACUUAAGAUACAACUUGUAUCUAUGUAAAUGAAUGUUUUUAUAUGAGAUUUAAAAGAAUAUAAAUGUCUUCUAAUAGCCUGGACACUGAUUGGUGACAUAUUAUAUGGAAACUGAAAACAGUUACAGGAAAAACUGCUUGAUUCGGUAUAGUGAAAAAUGGGCGGUUUUGAAGCUGAAAACCCUUUAUUUGUCAUGACUUUAGGGCAUGAUUACCUUCACAUACAUAGUAUAGAAGUGUGGUACAAAUUUGGGAGUCGUUGGAUAUAGUUAAGGGGUGAAAAAGAUUGGAAAAGUAGUUGGACGGUGAUGAAACCUGAAAAACAGAUUCUGUCCAUUUUCUUGUUUAAUGUGGUUUCAACCUUUACGUAUCCAUUAAUCAUAUCUUGGGCCUAGAUAAUAGAUUCUAAGGGUACUAGGUUGUUGACAACAACUGGACGAUGUCGACGUUCAUAAUUGGACUCAAGAAAUAGCGAGAUUUAUGAGGCUAGUUUGUAAUGACUUUGGUAACUUGAAAUAAUGAUUUCGUCAACAUUAUUUUGGUUUGACUGGAUGUAUUUUGGGAUUUAUUGUGUGUUAAGUUAUUAAAUUGAGGAGUGUCUUUAAUAUUAAAUGGUAAUACAGGUGAUUUUCUGACUUUGAGUGAAAAAGGAAGUUGAUCUAAUCUCCGUAGGAGCUUGCACACACAAAGGCAAAAGGUAAGUAAAAAUCCAUUUGCAACUACGAUGCAAGCACCUAGUAUUUGUGAUAUGGUAAUGUUGAAAGAUUUACAUAACUUUGAUAAGAGGUUCAUUGCACAUCAUAUGAUGGUUAUGGUCAUUGAGUAUGCGGUUGCGGAACUUGUUGACAUCAAUUUUCACCAAAUAUGUCAUUCAUGAGCAUUUUCACCGGCAUGCACAACAUAUGAUCAUGGUCGAAAAUUCUGCCUGCGAAACAUGUUUUCAAAUUGAGUUUUCCUUUUAAAUGUUUUAUUGACCACUACUAGGGCAUCGAGUCAUGCUUAUGUGAUAUAUUUUGGUAUCGCGGGUAAUACUUCCUUGGUGAUUGCAAAGGUAGACAGGGAAUACGCCUUUGGUGAUCACGAGAAGGUGGAUCACUCGACUAUGCCCUUAUGAUAUUAUGAUUAUUGGCGCUGUCGGGUGGGAUACUUCUUGGGGGAUCAUGGAGGUAGUUAGGGGAUGGACCUCUAGUGGUCACGAGAGGAUAGUCCACUCGCCGGUGUUGAUUUCAUAUUGGCCAUUUGAUUAUUGCUAUUAAUAUUAUGUAGAGCUCUAUCCAGUGCAUAGUAGGUGGUCAAGAGCCCAAUGAAAUGAAAGAUUUCAAAUAAAAUGAUUUCGAGUCGACUUUGAUGAAUAUUUGAAUAUGAUGCAUCUUUAUUGUGAUGUUUAAAGUAAAUGGCAAAGUGUCAUAUAUCAUUAUUGCUCAUAUUCAUGACAUGUAUGAUUUUUGCUUACUAAGUAUUGGCUUAUGUAGUUCGCAUUGUAGGUGAGCAUGGAACUACAUAGAGAGCACGACUAACUGUGGAGAUCUUACGGGAUUCUAGAGUUUGAUGUACAUGGAUGAUGACAUGUAGGGUUAUUUUGUGGGCUGUUAUCUAUUGUAUUAUAUUUUGGGAAUCCUGUAUUGUAUCACUUUUGAUAUGGCUUGUAGAUAUAUUUAUAACCUUAGAACAUAUGUGUUGGAUUAUGGUUAUCUGAUCUUUGAUUUCAAUAUACUAUAUGAUCGUCACAAGUGAUCAAAAAUUAAUAAACAAG